UAGAGACACGGACAACCCCGGGAAACUGGGAUUAAUCCGUGAUAGGUCAUCUCACCUGGAAGGAGAGAUGGCUUAAAGGGGUGCGAGAGCUUCUUUCUCGUAUCCGCUCUAGGAUGGGACUGCGGCCGAUCAGGCUGUUGGUGGGGUAAUGGCCCACCAAACCUGUAACCGGUACGGGCCUUGAGAGAGGGGGCCCGGAGAUGGACACUGAGAGAAGGGUCCAGGUCCUACGGGGCGCAGCAGGCGCGAAACCUUCGCAAUGCGCGAAAGCGUGACGAGGUUAAUCCGAGUGGUCCCCGCUGAGGGGAUCUUUUGCCAGCUGUAAAAAGGCCGGUGAAUAAGGGGAGGGCAAGUCUGGUGUCAGCCGCCGCGGUAAUACCAGCUCCUCGAGUGGUCGGGGCGAUUAUUGGGCCUAAAGCAUCCGUAGCCUGUUCUGUAGGUCCUCUGUCAAAUCCAACGGCUUAACCGUUGGCCCGCAGAGGAUACCGCAGGACUAGGAGGCGGGAGAGGUGGACGGUACUCCACGUGUAGGGGUAAAAUCCUUUGAUCCGUGGAAGA
rnacentral:rRNA from 1 species